rnacentral:rRNA from 1 species
AGAUUGAACGCUGGCGGCAGGCCUAACACAUGCAAGUCGAGCGGUAGAGAGGUGCUUGCACCUCUUGAGAGCGGCGGACGGGUGAGUAAUGCCUAGGAAUCUGCCUAGUGGUGGGGGAUAACGUUCGGAAACGGACGCUAAUACCGCAUACGUCCUACGGGAGAAAGCGGGGGACCUUCGGGCCUCGCGCCAUUAGAUGAGCCUAGGUCGGAUUAGCUAGUUGGUGAGGUAAUGGCUCACCAAGGCGACGAUCCGUAACUGGUCUGAGAGGAUGAUCAGUCACACUGGAACUGAGACACGGUCCAGACCUCCGUACGGGAGCAGCGAGUGGGGAA